GCGAACGGGUGAGUAACACGUGGGCAAUCUGCCCUUCACUCUGGGACAAGCCCUGGAAACGGGGUCUAAUACCGGAUACUGACCCUCGCAGGCAUCUGCGAGGUUCGAAAGCUCCGGCGGUGAAGGAUGAGCCCGCGGCCUAUCAGCUUGUUGGUGAGGUAAUGGCUCACCAAGGCGACGACGGGUAGCCGGCCUGAGAGGGCGACCGGCCACACUGGGACUGAGACACGGCCCAGACUCCUACGGGAGGCAGCAGUGGGGAAUAUUGCACAAUGGGCGAAAGCCUGAUGCAGCGACGCCGCGUGAGGGAUGACGGCCUUCGGGUUGUAAACCUCUUUCAGCAGGGAAGAAGCGAAAGUGACGGUACCUGCAGAAGAAGCGCCGGCUAACUACGUGCCAGCAGCCGCGGUAAUACGUAGGGCGCAAGCGUUGUCCGGAAUUAUUGGGCGUAAAGAGCUCGUAGGCGGCUUGUCACGUCGGUUGUGAAAGCCCGGGGCUUAACCCCGGGUCUGCAGUCGAUACGGGCAGGCUAGAGUUCGGUAGGGGAGAUCGGAAUUCCUGGUGUAGCGGUGAAAUGCGCAGAUAUCAGGAGGAACACCGGUGGCGAAGGCGGAUCUCUGGGCCGAUACUGACGCUGAGGAGCGAAAGCGUGGGGAGCGAACAGGAUUAGAUACCCUGGUAGUCCA
rnacentral:rRNA from 6 species